GACGAACGCUGGCGGCGUGCCUAAUACAUGCAAGUUGAGCGCUGAAGGUUGGUACUUGUACCAACUGGAUGAGCAGCGAACGGGUGAGUAACGCGUGGGGAAUCUGCCUUUGAGCGGGGGACAACAUUUGGAAACGAAUGCUAAUACCGCAUAAAAACUUUAAACACAAGUUUUAAGUUUGAAAGAUGCAAUUGCAUCACUCAAAGAUGAUCCCGCGUUGUAUUAGCUAGUUGGUGAGGUAAAGGCUCACCAAGGCGAUGAUACAUAGCCGACCUGAGAGGGUGAUCGGCCCCAUUGGGACUGAGACACGGCCCAAACUCCUACGGGAGGCAGCAGUAGGGAAUCUUCGGCAAUGGACGAAAGUCUGACCGAGCAACGCCGCGUGAGUGAAGAAGGUUUUCGGAUCGUGAAACUCUGUUGGUAGAGAAGAACGUUGGUGAGAGUGGAAAGCUCAUCAAGUGACGGUAACUACCCAGAAAGGGACGGCUAACUACGUG
rnacentral:rRNA from 1 species